rnacentral:rRNA from 1 species
GACGAACGCUGGCGGCGUGCUUAACACAUGCAAGUCGAACGGAAAGGCCCUGCUUUUGUGGGGUGCUCGAGUGGCGAACGGGUGAGUAACACGUGAGUAACCUGCCCUUGACUUUGGGAUAACUUCAGGAAACUGGGGCUAAUACCGGAUAGGAGCUCCUGCUGCAUGGGGGGGGUUGGAAAGUUUCGGCGGUUGGGGCUGGACUCGCGGCUUAUCAGCUUGUUGGUGUGGUAGUGGCUUACCAAGGCUUUGACGGGUAGCCGGCCUGAGAGGGUGAACGGCCACAUUGGGACUGAGAUACGGCCCAGUCUGCUACGGGAGGCAGAAGUGGGGAAUAUUGCACAAUGGGCGGAAGCCUGAUGCAGCAACGCCGCGUGCGGGAUGACGGCCUUCGGGUUGUAAACCGCUUUCGCCUGUGACGAAGCGUGAGUGACGGUAAUGGGUAAAGAAGCACCGGCUAACUACGUG